GGACCUGACCUUUACCUACCGCAGGUUCUGAUGUAUUCUUGGAAGAUGAGAGAUCCUGAGAAGCCAAAAGUAAACCAUUUGACAACUGCAUCAUUGUGUGAAGUCUCUUUCAUUCUAAAAAUACACAACGCAGAAGAAAAACCCACUACACUAAGUCUGGUCACUCUCACCUCGUCAGCACCUUCUCCACCUCCCUGAGGAACGCUCAAGGAAACAGACAAUGAAGAGACAGAGGACUGGAGGAGGAGAAGAAGAGACAGAGUCUAUCAGGAAUAUCUCCAUCCACAGCUCAGGUUACACCUGCUGAAGGAUCAUCCUGAAGUCCUGAUGAGCAGGAACUAAUGAUCUUGCUUUUCACAUGUAACCGAAACCUUCCAGCAUGUGGAAGUGUGGAAGAUCUGAGGCUCAUCUGAGAAGACGACCGAUCUCACAAGAGCUUCACCGCUGUGACAGGGAACAGCUCGACCUGGAGUUUACGAUCUGAUCAAACGUUUUGAACUAUCCACACUUCACGUUAAAUAAAACAUCAUGUGGUUUAUUUAAUAAAUUCACUUAUUUGCCAA